AGCGAACGCUGGCGGCAGGCCUAGCAUAUGCAAGUCGAACGAUCCUUCGGGAUAGUGGCGGACGGGUGUGUAACACGUGGGAACGUGCCCUUUGGCUCGGAAUAACGCAGGGAAACUUGAGCUAAUACCGCAUAACGUGCAGUGCCUCAAGGUGGUGUACGAAAGCUCCGGCGGUUAAGGAUGGGCCCGCGGCAGAUUAGCUGGUUGGUGAGGUAACGGCUUACCGAGGCGACGAUCUGUAGAUGGUCUGAGAGGACGAUCAGCCACACUGGAACUGAGACACGGUCCAGACUCCUACGGGAGGCAGCAGUGGGGAAUCUUGCGCAAUGGGCGAAAGCCUGACGCAGCAAUGCCGCGUGAGGGAAGACGGCCUUAGGGUUGUAAACCUCUUUCAGCAGGGACGAACACAGACGGUACCUGCAGAAGAAGCCCCGGCUAACUACGUGCCAGCCGCCGCAGUAAAAC
rnacentral:rRNA from 1 species